AAAGAAAAUUAGAUAAUCAUCUCCCGAUUAUUAUCGGGGGAAGGAAAGUCCGAACACCAGGAGCAAAAUACUUCGUAACACGAAGUCCCGGUGACGGGAAGAUAGUGCCACAGAAAACAAACCAUUCCCAAUAUGCCUUUGGUUAUUGGGAGGAAGGGUGAAAAGGUGGUGUAAGAGACCACCAGUUCUCUCCGCCAGCUGGCGGAGAGAAGCUCGGUAAACCUUAUUUGGUGCAAGGUCAAAUAGGAGAGGAUCCCUCCAAUAUGUUGGAGGAACGAAUUGUUCCAUUCGUUUUACUCUCGGGUAGACUGCAAAAAUCAGUCUUUUGAAUCCCGAUACAUCGGGAUGCGGCAACGCCUGAUUCAGAUAAAUGAUUGUCAUCUCGACCUGUUAAGUUGAGAAACAGAAUUCGGCUUAUUAUUUUCUUUAGCA
rnacentral:RNase_P_RNA from 1 species